rnacentral:rRNA from 1 species
UGGGGAAUCUUGCGCAAUGGGCGAAAGCCUGACGCAGCGACGCCGCGUGGGUGAUGAAGGCCUUCGGGUUGUAAAGCCCUGUGGGGAGGGACGAAUAAUGGUGACCUAAUACGUCAUCGGAUGACGGUACCUCCUUAGCAAGCACCGGCUAACUCUGUGCCAGCAGCCGCGGUAAGACAGAGGGUGCGAACGUUGUUCGGAAUUACUGGGCGUAAAGCGCGUGUAGGCGGCAAGGCAAGUCGGAUGUGAAAGCCCCGGGCUCAACCUGGGAAGUGCAUUCGAUACUGCCAAGCUGGAGUCCCGGAGAGGAUGGUGGAACUCUCGGUGUAGAGGUGAAAUUCGUAGAUAUCGAGAAGAACACCGGUGGCGAAGGCGGCCAUCUGGACGGUGACUGACGCUGAGACGCGAAAGCGUGGGGAGCAAACAGG